UUCUGCUACUUCUGCGAUUUUUGUGACUUCUGCUACUUCUGCGAUUUCUGUGACUUCUGCUGCUUCUGCGACUUACCACCGUAUGGAAAAGUUACAUCUGCCCACACUGAAAAUUGCUUCUCAACAAAUCUGUCAUUGGUACCCGAACUACAUUUCAGUCACUCAGUAAAUUGAUAACUCAAAAUAUCAUUGUCAACACAUCUGGAGAAAUUGCCACUGCGUCUUUAGACCGUUUUCGUCAGACGGGAGACACAGUUCUGACUCUUGAUUACUGGUUGCUGUACGAAUUUAUCCACAUCAAGGCUAUUGAGAGAGACUCGUGAAGAUUCAAGACAGGUCUUACAGGAUUUGCAGUUUAAAAGUGACAUAAUUGUGAAAUAAGUGUGCAGAUGAGUGAUUAAACUGUGUUUUAUUGAAGUUGUUAUGCAAUUUUAAAGGAAUAAUAAAUGUUAAAUACAGUGAGUGAAUAAUGAAAAUCUCA